GACGAACGCUGGCGGCGGGCUUAACACAUGCAAGUCGAACGGCAACACCCUGCUUUUGUGGGGUGCUCGAGUGGCAAACGGGUGAGGAACACGUGAGUAACCUACUCUUGACUUUGGGAUAACUUCAGGAAACUGGGCCUAAUACCGGAUAGGAUCUCCUCCUGCAUUGUGGGGGUUGGAAAGUUUCGGCGGUAGGGGAUGGACUAGCGGCUGAUGAGCUUGUUGGUGGGGUAGGUGCAUACCGAGGCAGUGAAGGGUACCCGGCACGUGAGGGUGAACGGCGACAAGGCGACUGCGGUAGGGCGCAGAGUGCUACGGGAGGCAGCAGGGGGGAACAUGGUACAAUGGGAGGAAGCCUGAUGAAGCAACGCCGCGUGCGGGAUGACGGCCUUCUGGUAGUAAAACGCUUUAGGUUGUGACGAAGCGGUAGUGACGGUAAUGGGUGAAGAAGCACCGGCUAACUACGUG
rnacentral:rRNA from 1 species